UGGGGAAUAUUGCACAAUGGGGGAAACCCUGAUGCAGCGACGCCGCGUGAGCGAAGAAGGCUUUCGAGUCGUAAAGCUCUGUCCUAUGAGAAGAUAAUGACGGUAUCAUAGGAGGAAGCCCUGGCUAAAUACGUGCCAGCAGCCGCGGUAAUACGUAUGGGGCGAGCGUUGUCCGGAAUUAUUGGGCGUAAAGGGUACGUAGGUGGUUUUUUAAGUCAGGUGUCAAAGCGUGGAGCUUAACUCCAUUAAGCACUUGAAACUGAAAGACUUGAGUGAAGGAGAGGAAAGUGGAAUUCCUAGUGUAGCGGUGAUAUGCGUAGAUAUUAGGAGGAAUACCGGUGGCGAAGGCGACUUUCUGGACUUUUACUGACGCUCAGGUACGAAAGCGUGGGGAGCAAACAGG
rnacentral:rRNA from 1 species